UUGGAGGGCAAGUCUGGUGCCAGCAGCCGCGGUAAUUCCAGCUCCAAUAGCGUAUAUUAAAGUUGUUGCAGUUAAAAAGCUCGUAGUUGAAUUUCGGGAUCAAUAUGUCGGUCGUGCCAUCGGUACGUACUGGUAUCAUUGGUCUCUCCUUUCUGACGAACCAUGAUGUCAUUAAUUUGGUGUUAUGGGGAGUUAGGACUGUUACUUUGAAAAAAUUAGAGUGUUUAAAGCAGGCAUUAGCUUGAAUACAUUAGCAUGGAAUAAUGAAAUAGGACGUUCGAACCUAUUUUGUUGGUUUCUAGGAUCACCGUAAUGAUUAAUAGGGAUAGUUGGGGGCAUUAGUAUUCAAUUGUCAGAGGUGAAAUUCUUGGAUUUAUUGAAGACUAACUACUGCGAAAGCAUUUGCCAGGGAUGUUUUCAUUAAUCAAGAACGAAAGUUAGGGGAUCGAAGACGAUCAGAUACCGUCGUAGUCUUAACCAUAAACUAUGCCGACUAGGGAUCGGAUGAUGUUAAUUUUUUAAUGACUCAUUCGGCGCCUUACGGGAAAC
rnacentral:rRNA from 1 species